rnacentral:tRNA from 1 species
GCUGCCGUAGCUCAGUGGUAGAGCACCCCCUUGGUAAGGGGGAGGUCGUAAGUUCAAUCCUUACCGGCAGCA